UACGGAGGAUGCAAGCGUUAUCCGGAAUGAUUGGGCGUAAAGGGUCCGCAGGUGGCCAUGUAAGUCUGCUGUCAAAGAAUGAGGCUUAACCUCAUCAAGGCAGUGGAAACUACAUAGCUAGAGUACGGUCGGGGUAGAAGGAAUUCCUGGUGUAGCGGUGAAAUGCGUAGAGAUCGGGAAGAACAUCGGUGGCGAAAGCGCUCUACUGGACCGCAAUUGACACUCAGGGACGAAAGCUAGGGGAGCGAAUGGG
rnacentral:rRNA from 1 species